rnacentral:rRNA from 1 species
UCUCCUAGGGGGGCAGCAGUAGGGAAUCUUCGGCAAUGGGCGAAAGCCUGACCGAGCAACGCCGCGUGAAUGAAGAAGGCCUUCGGGUUGUAAAAUUCUGUUAUAAGGGAAGAAAGGUGAUAGGAGGAAAUGACUAUCAAUUGACGGUACCUUAUGAGAAAGCCACGGCUAACUACGUGCCAGCAGCCGCGGUAAUACGGAGGAUGCGAGCGUUAUCCGGAUUUAUUGGGUUUAAAGGGUGCGUAGGCGGACAGUCAAGUCAGCGGUAAAAAUGCGGUGCUCAACGCCGUACAGCCGUUGAAACU